rfam:Aedes albopictus isolate Foshan contig94208, whole genome shotgun sequence.
UGCCCAGCAACUCCUAUCCCUACCUCCACGCGGUACAGGCCGGAAACUAUGAGCAACCUUAGGGAAGA